ensembl:misc_RNA 7SK 7SK RNA
GGAUGUGAGGGCAAUCUGACUGCAACAUCUGUCACCCCAUUGAUCACCCUGAUGAGGAUCAUUCUUUGGUCAAGGGUUUAUGAGUAGUGUCACCCCUGCUAGAACAUCCAAACAAGCUCUCAAGGUCCAUUUGUAGUAGCACAUAAGAGAGUCAGGCUCCCAAGACUCCAGACACAUCCAAAUGAGGCGCUGCAUGUGGCAGUCUGCCUUUCUCA